UACGGAGGGUGCAAGCGUUAUCCGGAUUCACUGGGCUUAAAGGGUGCGUAGGUGGGCAGGUAAGUCAGUGGUGAAAUCUCUGGGCUUAACCCAGAAACUGCCGUUGAUACUAUCUGUCUUGAAUAUAGUGGAGGUGAGCGGAAUAUGUCAUGUAGCGGUGAAAUGCUUAGAUAUGACAUAGAACACCCAUUGCGAAGGCAGCUCGCUACACUAUUAUUACACUGAGGCACGAAAGCGUGGGGAUCAAACAGG
rnacentral:rRNA from 1 species